rnacentral:rRNA from 1 species
UGGGGAAUUUUGGACAAUGGGCGAAAGCCUGAUCCAGCAAUGCCGCGUGUGUGAAGAAGGCCUUCGGGUUGUAAAGCACUUUUGUCCGGAAAGAAAUCCUUGGCUCUAAUACAGUCGGGGGAUGACGGUACCGGAAGAAUAAGCACCGGCUAACUACGUGCCAGCAGCCGCGGUAAUACGUAGGGUGCAAGCGUUAAUCGGAAUUACUGGGCGUAAAGCGUGCGCAGGCGGUUUGCUAAGACCGAUGUGAAAUCCCCGGGCUCAACCUGGGAACUGCAUUGGUGACUGGCAGGCUAGAGUAUGGCAGAGGGGGGUAGAAUUCCACGUGUAGCAGUGAGAUGCGUAGAGAUGUGGAGGAAUACCGAUGGCGAAGGCAGCCCCCUGGGCCAAUACUGACGCUCAUGCACGAAAGCGUGGGGAGCAAACAGGAUUAGAUACCCUGGUAGUCCACGCCCUAAACGAUGUCAACUAGUUGUUGGGGAUUCAUUUCCUUAGUAACGUAGCUAACGCGUGAAGUUGACCGCCUGGGGAGUACGGUCGCAAGAUUAAAACUUAAAUGAAUUGACGGGGUCAUAGCUGUUUCCU